rnacentral:tRNA from 1 species
GUUUUUAUAGUAUAUCAGUAUAUCUAACUUCCAAUUAGAAGGGCCGAGGUAAAAACA